UACAGAGGGUGCAAGCGUUAAUCGGAAUUACUGGGCGUAAAGCGUGCGUAGACGGUUGCGUAAGUCAGAUGUGAAAGCCCCGGGCUCAACCUGGGAAUUGCACUUGAGACUGCGUAGCUAGGGUGCGGAAGAGGGAAGCGGAAUUUCCGGUGUAGCGGUGAAAUGCGUAGAUAUCGGAAGGAACACCAGUGGCGAAAGCGGCUUCCUGGUCCAGCACCGACGUUCAGGCACGAAAGCGUGGGGGGCAAACAGG
rnacentral:rRNA from 1 species